rnacentral:lncRNA from 1 species
GUGUGCAAAGUCUGCUCUCAGAGCGUCGAGAACAGCUUAACAGACAACAACAAUAAAGAGGAUGCUGGAGUUCCCUGCUUCGUAAAAGGAAGGAAGUGCUCCAAAUUCAUACCCUGAAGACAAUGAGCACUCCCUGUUGGUUUUUGGGUCAGAAACUCGAACAAGAAACCAAGACAGCAACACAUUCAAAGCAGAAAGAGCAGCUCGUAGUUGUUCACUAGAAAACACCUAUAAUGGCUGUGGACCAAUUACAUAGUAUAACCACUGAGCAGUUGGGAGAUUUUGAGGACUGGUCGAGCGCCACCUCAUCAGAUGGUUGCCUUGGCGACUGGAGUGAUUUUCAUGAAGGAGAUAGACCUACUUCACCUGUUCAUGCUCAGAGCACAGAACCAUUGGAACACUCCUCAAAGUCUACUACGUCUGUGCCGAGCGGCGAUGCUCUGAAUGUGUGGGGAGUUUUCCGUGAGUGCUUCCCGCCUGAGGUCCUGCCCAGCGAGCCUGUCGACCUUGACACACCAACCCUGUCAGAGCUGCUUAGGAGCCCCUCGCACACACAGCCACAGCCAGGAGACCUUAGCAGUGGGGCAGUAAGUGUGUGUGGUCGUCUGCUAUGUGAGGGAAGCUCAGUGAGGUUGUCGGGACCCAAGCCCUGCGUACACUCCAUCUCCCAGCUCAUCAACACAUUACCUCUGGUGGACCCAAAGACACACAACACAGAGGACAUGACUCUCCCUGACAUGGAGUUAGAGAAAACUGAAGACCCUCCGGCUACACUCAUACAGACUAAGCUACUGGCUCCAUCCUGUUGCCAUGGAUCCCCACCCUUCCUGUACCAGGUGUCCCUGCGGUGGCUUAGGCAGUGCAACAUCCAGUUACAGGCCCACAAACAUGGCAAAGGCCUCCUGCAGUGAGACCCACACAGGCAUAUACACCGACAUGACAAAGGCCUUCUAUGCGACAGGUGUGUAUAUUAGCAUGGUGAAACGCCCAGCGAAGACCCCAACAUAAGGCCUUCUGCUCAGAGACCUGUGGUUGGUGCCAUGCGCUCACAUGGCAGAGGCUACUGGCAUAGGGAUACAAACCAUUUUGGGUUUCUUAUGGAAACCCAAGCAAUAGUCAUAUUCUUGUUUACCUACCUGCCUUACCGGACCUCAUUGGUGCAUACUCGUAUACACAGAACACAGAAACACACAUUCAAAUACAGUAUGUACCCAUUCACCUACACAUUCUUUUGGUAACCAAAGACAGGAGUGGGGCCAGUCCUUUGCCCUGAAAAUCUAGCUGGACUGAAAACUCAUUCAGGAGUGCAUUUCCCAAAUGCGUCAUUGAGCAACCACCGUGUUCACUAACAGAGAGAGAGGGUGUUCAAAAUGAUAGUCUCUCUAUAAUUUAACAAUGGCAGUUGAUCACCAACGCUUUCGGGAAACGCACCCCUGGAUCGGUUUUAGCCAUCAUUUACACUUGUCAUCCACAUCUGAUCAUACCAGUCCAAUUCAGAUCACAGUUGUGGUAGAAAUCUCUCUUUUUUUUUUUUUUAUUUAGAUAAACUCGAACACACACAGUAAAAGUUUAAACAUUUUUGACCAACUUGCAAGUGGAGACAGUCAGUCAGUGAGUCCAAGAAUAGACAACACACACAACUUUUAUAUUAUUCAGUGAAAACACGACAGAUUUUUCAAUGGAAAGUUACUAUUGGGCUGUAAGGCCUGUCGGUAUAAGACAGCACCUGGGUAGCAGAGUUGCUCAAGGACAUAGCUUGUUUUCCAAAACUUGAAGGGAGAAGUUUAGACCCAGACAGAGAGGAGAAGGGAGGAGAAUCACCUGUGCCAUGCUGACCACCUUAUCUCUCAUCCAUGGAGUGUUCCAGUGCAGAAUACAAUAUCAAAACUGUGUGGUAACAAAGGAAAAACUUGAAAACUUUGCAUGUACAAUUUGCAUCUGCACAAUUAACUCUUUAAAAAUUCCAUUACAAACUCAAGGGGACUUUUCUCUUCAGCUGUUGCAUCCAGCUGUGAAUUGGAUAUUUUAUGACGAAUACUGACAUUGAGUUUACAUUGAGAUCCAGUCUCAGUGUGUGCCUAAUCGGGCAACCUUACUGCUGGACACCUACACACUCUGGCGUUUCAACACCUGUGUUUGUAAUAGAAAUGUGGGGCCAGAGCAGCUAAAUGAUGUCUGUCUCAGUUGGGCUCAAAUAAACUGAAUCCAAUUUAUCA